AGUGAACGCUGGCGGUAGGCCUAACACAUGCAAGUCGAACGGCAGCACCGUAAGAGCUUGCUCUUACGGGUGGCGAGUGGCGGACGGGUGAGGAAUACAUCGGAAUCUACUUUUUCGUGGGGGAUAACGUAGGGAAACUUACGCUAAUACCGCAUACGACCUACGGGUGAAAGCAGGGGAUCUUCGGACCUUGCGCGAUUGAAUGAGCCGAUGUCGGAUUAGCUAGUUGGCGGGGUAAAGGCCCACCAAGGCGACGAUCCGUAGCUGGUCUGAGAGGAUGGUCAGCCACACUGGAACUGAGACACGGUCCAGACUCCUACGGGAGGCAGCAGUGGGGAAUAGUGGACAAUGGGCGCAAGCCUGAUCCAGCCAUACCGCGUGGGUGAAGAAGGCCUUCGGGUUGUAAAGCCCUUUUGUUGGGAAAGAAAAGCAGCAGGUUAAUACCCCGCUGUUCUGACGGUACCCAAAGAAUAAGCACCGGCUAACUUCGUG
rnacentral:rRNA from 1 species